UACGUAGGGUGCGAGCGUUAAUCGGAAUUACUGGGCGUAAAGCGUGCGCAGGCGGUUUUGUAAGCCAGAUGUGAAAGCCCCGGGCUUAACCUGGGAAUGGCAUUUGGGACUGCAAGGCUUGAGUGCGGCAGAGGAGACUGGAAUUCCUGGUGUAGCAGUGAAAUGCGUAGAUAUCAGGAGGAGCAUCAGUGGCGAAAGCGACUUCCUGGACCAAUACUGACGCUCAGGUGCGAAAGCGUGGGGAGCAAACAGG
rnacentral:rRNA from 1 species